GAACGACUGCGUCACAGGUUAAGUCACGUGACGUUAGUGUCUAAUGCGCUAGCAAACGUUCACGUUAACGGUAGCUCGCGUAUCUGCAUCCGACCCUCGUAAGAGUCCACGACCUAUAAACUCCAUUAGAGGACAACGAUUUGGAUGGAACUGGGACUCAGGUUCUGUAACAACAUCCCAACACCGGAUACCAAAUGAUAGUUGGGCAUUUGAAUGCCGCACACAUAUACAAAGUCCACAUGGAGGUUAAAGUUGACUGGACUGGACCACGUGGUCAUCGUCGGCCUGGUGUUCGGGUCCCUGAAGUUCAGCUGCAAUGCUGAAAGCCCCCUGUCCAAUGUGUUGGAUGUCUUUGUACAAACUAUGUGCUUACAGUUUUUCUCUAUUGUUUACACACAUUUUCUUAAAGCAUGCCUCAUACUCUCAGAACUCUACACACAAAUCAAAAAACACACACACACAAUGGGCAAAACCCCUCAAUACUCCUGCAAAAUUAAACUUUACAUUCAAAACAAUGUAAUUUCUUCUCAAAAUGGUAUUUUGUUUUCAAAUGACACACACAAACCAUCAUAUGAAAAGACUUUUAUAAGAACCAGUUGAACACUGAUGUGCUGAAUGUUAAACACUAUGAUGAAUGGAAAACACAAAUUUGCACCGCCGCUGACACCGCAGCACCAGCCUCCUCAUUCAUUUCAAUAAGAGCACUGCGUUAUGCAUGUGUUUUGAAAACACAAAUUUACUGUAUACAGUUACAGUAAAAACAUCUAUGCUGCAUCCUGUCUUCUGUUCCGGUCUGUUCCACAGAACCUCAUCCACAUCGCAAGCAAUGUUUUCCCUGGCCAAGCAGAGGGGGAAAUAUCGCUCAGCAUGUCCAAUCCAGCCAUGAAAAGCAUCAACUGCUUUAUCUCCACAUGCGUCUUCCAUAGCUUGGAGAAGGGGGAUAUGCGUUUGUGGAUUUUGGUCAAACACUUUCCAUCUCCAGGCAGAAAAGAAUUCCUCCAUAGCUUUGGUCAACCAAAGUGGGUCGGAUCUCAUCAGAGUUUACGGUCCUUGGCCUUCCUCCUCCUCCUCCUCCUCCUCCUCCUCCUCUUACUCUCACUCCUCUGCCUCUGUUUCUAAUGUUGUCAUCCAUUGCUCCAAAACAGAAGAGCUCACCUGUUGCCUUUUAUGCUAAAGCUCUGAUUCCUAAUUGUAACACUGUGUGACAGGUGUUUUCCCAUGUGACGAGUCAGUGUGCAUAGUGGGGCAAUUGACGUUAGAAUUUUGAAUGACAGUGUUUUUCUUGUGAAAACAAAAUUUUCUUCAUGAAAAUUGUACAGAGAAUGCAGAGAAUUGUGUGUAGUGUUUUGAAAAAAGUGUGUUUUAGAACUGCAAUUUGAGUGUAAAGCAAGAAUAGUGCUUGUAGUUUAGCAGAAUUGAGAUCGAGAAAAAAAUAUCAGACAUGCUCCAGUAAAUGCCUGUGUCACCAGCUUCAUGACGCAGGGAGUUAAAUAAAUGCUCUGAUUAAGCAUAGAUUUGAAAUCAGUGUUGAAUUUUAUUAUUUCUCAAACUCCUUUCUGUUUCACAUGAAUAAAAAGAUCAACACAAAAAUAAAAAUAAU